ensembl:lncRNA
GGGAGCCGCUGCAGCGGGGAGGGAGCGGAAGGGGGCGCGGGUGGGCCCUGGCGGCUCUCCCGUAGGCCUCGGUAGGUCGGCGGUGAGGGAGGGCGGCUCUUUCCGGCCUCUUCCCCCCUUGCAUCCCUUCUUCUUCUUCUGGCAGGGCCUGGCCGGGGUGGUUGUGUGCCGGCCUGUGGCUGUGCUCCGUCUCUCCGGGCGGAGGGAUGGGGUGUACAGGGCUCCGCCGUCCCCCGCUGGUGAGGUGCUGCUCCUCUUGAGCCCUGUUGUGCUGUGCUUGGAAGGAGCCGUUGCAGAUGGGGUGCCAUCAGGAGAGUCAUAUUUGAGUAACAUCAGUAAAAAAAAAUUCUGGAUGCAUUCAAAGGUAACUUUUUGUCAUCUUCACAACCAGAAGUUGCGCUAAUUUUACUAGUUUCAUACUGAAAGUUUCAUAUUGAAUGUUGGUUGUAG